rnacentral:lncRNA from 1 species
UGUUACUGUUACCUGCAAGCCUGUCUACACAGUGCAUGGACACUUCGACCCGCCUUACUACUCGGCCCGAAACCGGAUUUGUCCGCUCGGUGAAUGGAUCUACAGCUAGUAGACAAUGCACGAUCUCGGUAUUUGGUAUUUUGCAUUAUUCCACGGCAGCAAAACAAAAGCAGUCUUCUCAUCGCUGGUCCCAACACAAAAAGCAUUUUAACUAAACUUUUCCCACCCUCCCCCGGCCCUAAAAAAAAAGAAAAGAAAAGAAAAAGAAACUUGGGGGUGUGUGUGCGUGGAUAGUGCACACACUACUCAAGAUAAGUGAUUUCCCAUUGAGUUUGCAGCUCGGCGUUCAAUGCGUAGUAACUUUCCCUACCGAGGUUCACUGCGCAAUUCGGCUUUAAGGCUGGCAGCCGACUGCAGCCUGCAGGCCUUUGCCGCAAACGCGGGGAGCGGCCAGUCCCCAGCUGGGUUCCCUGCAGAGCGCCUCUUCCCCGCCCCCUCCCCGGGCGGCACCCGCGCUCGGCUUCGCGAACGUGAAGUCAGCGCGCCCUCUGCCGGCCGGCGCCUGCCCGGGCGGGGCGGUGGGGGCAGGGCGCCCGGAGCCCGCGCCGGGAGGCCUCCAGCCACCCCCCAUCCCCCCCGUGGGGGUCCUUUCGCGCCCACCCGCGGAGGGCCCGGGCCGGGAGGAGGCCGAGCGAGUGGAGGGAAAGUGCUUUCAGAGGCGUGCACUCCACCGCACGGGAGGCGGAGGAGGCUAAACCCGGCUGUCCUCGCAAGUGAACUUCGUCCUGAGGGGAAGCAGCGCUCUUCAUGGGACACGUGCGAGAGUCCACAGAUCCCUCCGUCCAGAGUGCAAGGUGCAUUCUCUGCUUCUGGGUCUUAGCAAUCCAG